GAUCAAGAACUGCGCUCAGGCUUUCGAUCCGUCGUUGGCCACGGCGGCAGACUUGCCUGAUGAGCGGCAGGGAAUCGUUACGGGACCACUUGUCCGAUGGUCCCAUACAGCGCAGAUC
ncrna:unclassified sequences DTF3268 RNA